rnacentral:misc_RNA from 1 species
UUGGAUCGUUUUUCUUCUCUCUAACGAGUCGCGACGAGGCCGAUGCCGCCCGAGCCCACCCCCACCCCUCUGCUCCUGUGUCGCUGCUUGUCAGAGCCGUGCGCUUUCGCCUCCCACUCUGGAGCAUCCUCUCCGCGCGUGCGACUCUCUUUCCGUCUCCCUCGCCAGUGGCAGUGUUUGACGAGGGGAGGCGCCGUGCACUGCUUCUCUCUGCAUGCGGCGUGGCAGAUCGGGAUGGGGAUGGGUGCUGAGGUAGUGGCGGCGUCCGUUCCCGCGAUCGCUUUGAUUUGGUAUUGCAGCCGUGGCCCUGGCGCACGCACGCGCGCUUGCACAGGCACCCGCACCGCCCCCUCCACACGCGGAGGCGUUUUCUUUGCGUUUCGUUGUGUGCCGGCGUGUGGACAUGUCGCUUGUCUUGUGCUUUUUUUUGGUGGCGCUUCGCACGACUCUCAUGGUGGGUAUUCGGCCUUUCUUUUGUUUCCGUGGGCGGCCGCUGUACCGCACAUAUUGUGCACGCUGUCUGCUCCUGAUUUUGUUUCUGUACGCCCUGCCGUGCUGUUUUUUUUUUGGUUUCUGUGCUACGUGUGUGUGUGUUUUGUAUUUUCCCGUGUUUUCACGCUUGCGAAUACGUGAUCCGAGAUGAAAGGGUUGUGUUGCGCAUGUGGAGUAUUCGGCGACUGAAAGGAAAGGUCUCAAAAGAUGGCGUAUCGCCCGAAAGGUCAGUAGACAGUUUAUUAGUGAGAUCGGUGGACUGGCGGUGCUCGAGUGCAGCGUGACGCUCGCGGACGAAUGCUAUUGAUAACGCUCUCAGACACACAGCGCACCGGCCCCCCACGUUCGCAUGCUCAGACUGAUCCACACACCUCUUUUGUUGCUCUGUUCCGCACGCUGCAGUCGCACUCACAGAUAAGCUAUAGAGGAAGCGCAUAGCGAUGCGACGUCGAAGCCCCAAAUAUAUAUGGAAAAGGAAAAAACACAUCAUGCGUCGUGCCAACUGGCGCAGGCGUGCACAAUGGAAGCAGGGGAGGGAGGGGGAAGAUGAAGGGGUGGCGGAACUCUGCGUGAGGCAGCUGCUCGUGUCAAUCAUCCGUCUACUGGUCUCUCCUCUCCAUCUUUCGUGGCUGUGCUGCCCCGCAGAUUAUGUGAAGGGUGCAACGGACUCGCACGCGAUCACGAACAUCGGCACCCGCACAGACGUGUCUUGCUUGCCAUCAUGCCUUCUUUUGUUUAUCUUGUGUGGUGUUCGAUUUCGUUUUCGUUUCGUAUGGCCCGUCUUCUCCGCAAGACACAU